rnacentral:rRNA from 1 species
ACUCCUACGGGAGGCAGCAGUGAGGAAUAUUGCACAAUGGGGGAAACCCUGAUGCAGCGACGCCGCGUGGGUGAUGAAGGUCUUCGGAUCGUAAAGCCCUUUUUGGCAUGACGAGAGAAGGACGGUAGUGCCAGAAUAAGCCUCGGCUAACUACGUGCCAGCAGCCGCGGUAAU